GCAGCAGGUCGGUUUGUCGCUGCGACAGUUGAUGUCGCGGAGGAAAGUCCGGGCAACAGAGAGCGCCAUACUUCCUAACGGGAAGCUGUUCGUGAGGGCAGAUCAGUGUAACAGAAAAUAACCGCCCCGGCCCCGUGCCGUGGUAAGGGUGAAAAGGUGAGGUAAGAGCUCACCGGGUGCUGCAGUAAUGCAGUGUGCCGUACGCAUUAUGGGUUGCAAGGCCAUGUAUAUCGGAUAUGUAGGGUUGCUCGCCCGACGCCGAGGGGUAGGCCGCUAAAGGAUGGUGGUGACACUCAUCCGUAGAUAAAUGACAGACACCCCGGGUAACCGGGGUACAGAACCCGGCUUACAGACCGGCUGCUUUU
rnacentral:RNase_P_RNA from 1 species